AGCCAGUGAUCAAACCACCAACCUUCCAAAUGGUAGAUGACCUGCUCUACCUCCUGAGCUGCAGCCACCCAGUUGUGCUGUCACACAAUGCGCCUCGCUUGCAAACUGGUGUCCCGCAGUCCCUCCAUGUUGCUGGUUUCCUGGGAGAGGAAUCAACCAGAUGUCAUCUAUAGUCACAAUGUGACUUUGUACCAUGUUGAACUAGGCUCCUAUAACACGCAUACUUUGGAUGUUACCACUCACAACCACUACCGCUUCUCUGCUCUGGACCCCUGCACCCUCUACAUGGCCUGUGUGGAGAUUGCAGACACUCUCUCCUUAGCAUGCCUCUCUACUAUUACUGGUAUGGACUAAUGAGUGAUGUUUAGUUAAUUAAAGUACAUUUGCAAAGGUUAAAGGCCUUAAAUUCACAUAACAACCUCUAGAUGGCGCCAACUAUGGGUUGUUUUUUUUUUUUUUGUUUGUUUUUUUUUUUUUUAACCUCAAAGCUUUUUGGGGGUUUUUUGUUUUGUUUUAAGUGACACUGCUAUCAGUUGUUUUCAACACAUGCUAAAACUGCUGCUGUAGCUCUUGUUCUGUUUC
ensembl:lncRNA